ACAGCGAUAGCCUCAGUAACGGCGAGUGAAGCGGCUACAGCUCAAAUUUGAAAUCUGGCCUCCUUUGGGGGUCCGAGUUGUAAUUUGCAGAGGAUGCUUUGGCAUUGGCGGCGGUCUAAGUUCCUUGGAACAGGACAUCGCAGAGGGUGAGAAUCCCGUACGUGGGCGCCUGCCUUUGCCGUGUAAAGCUCCUUCGACGAGUCGAGUUGUUUGGGAAUGCAGCUCUAAAUGGGAGGUAAAUUUCUCCUAAAGCUAAAUACCGGCCAGAGACCGAUAGCGCACAAGUAGAGUGAUCGAAAGAUGAAAAGUACUUUGGAAAGAGAGUCAAAUAGCACGUGAAAUUGUUGAAAGGGAAGCGCUUGCAGCCAGACUUGCCCGCAGUUGCUCACCUAGGCUUUCGCCUGGGGCACUCUUCUGCGGGCAGGCCAGCAUCAGUUUGGGCGGUCGGAUAAAGGCCUCUGUCAUGUACCACCCCUCGGGGUGGCCUUAUAGGGGAGGCGUAAUGCGACCAGCCCGGACUGAGGUCCGCGCAUCUGCUAGGAUGCUGGCGUAAUGGCUGUAAGCGGCCCGUCUUGAAACACGGACCAAGGAGUCUAACAUCUAUGCGAGUGUUUGGGUGUCAAGCCCGGGCGCGCAAUGAAAGUGAACGGAGGUGGGAACCCCUCGGGGUGCACCAUCGACCGAUCCUGAAGUCUUCGGAUGGAUUUGAGUAAGAGCAUAGCUGUUGGGACCCGAAAGAUGGUGAACUAUGCUUGAAUAGGGUGAAGCCAGAGGAAACUCUGGUGGAGGCUCGCAGCGGUUCUGACGUGCAAAUCGAUCGUCAAAUUUGGGCAUAGGGGCGAAAGACU
rnacentral:rRNA from 1 species